rnacentral:rRNA from 1 species
GACGAACGCUGGCGGCGUGCUUAACACAUGCAAGUCGAACGGAAAGGCCCCUUUGGGGGUACUCGAGUGGCGAACGGGUGCGUAACACGUGAGUAACCUGCCCUUGACUUCGGGAUAACUUCAGGAAACUGGGGCUAAUACCGGAUAGGAAUCCUUGCUGCAUGGUGGGGGUUGGAAAGCUUCGGCGGUUUUGGAUGGACUCGCGGCUUAUCAGCUUGUUGGUGGGGUAGUGGCUUACCAAGGCUUUGACGGGUAGCCGGCCUGAGAGGGCGACCGGCCACAUUGGGACUGAGAUACGGCCCAGACUCCGACGGGAGGCAGCAGGGGGGAAGAUUGCACAAGGGGCGGAAGCCGGAUGAAGCAAGGCCGCGUGCGGGAUGACGGCCUUCGGGUUGUAAACCGCUUUCAGCAGGGGCGAAGCUUGUGGUGACGGUACCUGCAGAAGAAGCACCGGCUAACUACGUG